GUUUGGACUAAUUUACAAUACUAUUUGAGAUUCGUAAUCAUUUUAACAUCUAUUCAUUUAAAAAUAUAAACCGGUAAGAUAGAGAUAAAGGUCACCUAUGUUAUCUUAUCAAAACUAUUAAAGCAAUUUGAUUUACUGCUUAGAACAGUUAUAUCAAAAUUAGCAGAUAAAUAAAUAAAGUGUUUGUUACAACUUAAUUCUAAAUGCUCUUCGAGUCAGCUAAACAAUAUUGAACAAGCCAUAACAAGAUAAUUGACAAACCUUUUAAAAUAUAAACUCAU
rnacentral:lncRNA from 1 species